CGUCUUUCUUCCUUUUACCGUUGUUUCUUUUCUUCUCUACUUUCUUUUCCUUUUCCUUACUCUAAUAUGUUCUCUACUUUUCUUUCAUUGUCGUCAGUUUUCUCUCAUUCAGAUUCUUCCUUCUCCACCUCCUCCUCCUUCUCUAAUGGAGAUCAUGCAAUCAAGAUCUCUCUUUUUACUUUUCUUUUUUCUUUUCCUUUACUUUUUUUGGUUAACCUGUUUUCCUGGAGAUGCAAACGAGAAACAAUAGGAUGGACAAUUUCAGGAAAGAAGAAAUGCGUUUAAAGCGGAAGGUUGUUUAUGAAAAAUAAAAUGGUAAUGCUGAUCAAUUUGUUUUAACCAAAUUAAUACAAAAUACAGAAAAUAUAACAACUAAUAGUACAAAAUAUAGAAAGUGUCAUUCUUUAUUCAUUCUUUAUUGAACGGACUAAAAAGGAAGGUGUGUCAUAUAAAUUUGGACAAACAACGUAUAAAAUCUUCAAAAUCAAACCAAAAUAAAAUAGCAUAAAUGCCGGUUAAAAUAAUAUUCUAUUUGAUAAUUCUUUCUUUGAAGAAAUGUUUUAAAGGAAAAAUCAUUUUUUGUUCCUCUCCUUUUGCCUUUAAAUCAAAUUCUCCCUCCAAUUUUAAACCAUAGAAAUUUUCUCCCCUAUCCCAAGCAAUGUUUGUUUUGCACUUUAGUUUUAUAAUCCUCACUAUAUGUAAUUUGUUUAUUAUAUUACUUAAAUUCCUUUUUUCAACUCAAGUGCUUUGUCUAUAAUUCAUAUGAUGACAUAUUUUAUUCAAAAUUAUGAAUUCUAAAUGUAUAACCGUUCUAAAUAAAAUGAUUUUAAGGGCGCCAAAUUGACUGGUGAUUUUAUAAAUCCAUGUUUAUAUUUUAUUCUAUAUUAUUGACCUCUAUUUUAUGUGCAUGUUCUUAAUAUUGUGAUACUUCUUUUCAUUUCUUUUUCCAUCUAAGUUGUUUGAUUUACCUAUAUAAUAGGUCAAUCUUUAUUUAUGGAAUAAAACAAGGUAAAUAAAUGGUAAUCAUACAUAUUUUAGAGUUUGCUUCAUCAAACAGAUAGUUUAUACAACACCAUAUAUUAAUAGUUAUUCCAAAUAUUUGCAGACAUAACAUUUAGUUAUUAGUCUACAGUCUACUAGAAUUUUAUAUAUAUUAGUUUCUAAAUAAAGAUAAAUUACACAUAUUCUUGAGUUGAAUAAACAAACUAUUUAAUUUUUCACUGUUCAGGUCUGGAGAUAAUAUUUAAUAAUCAAAUAUGUCUUCACAUUCAAACAUCUUAAUCUUAAGCAAAACAAUCGGGUCUGAAGUUAAAUGGAACGACAUUGUUCCAUCUCAAAUAAUUAAGCAAUUUGAUGUUCCAACGUCGGUGACGUAUCAUCAGAUGACGCGCUUUUUCUGUCACAUCAUCACUCAAGGGGUUAACUGAUUCUCUUCAAACAAGAUCAGAGAGGUAAAGGGUUGCCAGCAAAGUUUAGGUGUAUAAGAAAUUUUUUGGGACAAGGAGGAAAAUAAGAAUUUUCCCUACUCACACAUGUAUACGUGUCUGUAUAAACAUAUGCUCUCAGUAUGUGUACAUGUGUGUGUAUUAAGAUUCUAUAUGUGAAUAUGUAAACAUAUUAUGUGUGUGUGGGCGCGCAUCAAUAUACACACACAUACAUAUGAAUAUGCAUAUAUUUUCUGUAUUUAUUUAUGCUUAAUUUACUAAGUUCAUAUGUCAAAAGAUAUGUAUGUAUCCUAUCCUACAUCUCCUACCUUGUAUGUGAAAACUUACUAGUAUCCAGUCCAAAGUUCCUCUAACAUUGGGAAAUUUAUCGUCUGCAAGAGCUUAAAUCAAUUUUCAAUUCAAUCAAGCAGAACUAUAUCCAAGAUCCUCAACUAGCUCAUGUAAAUAAAAUGCAAAACUGCUUAAAUUUUGAACUUACCUUCCAAAACGCGGAGCUAUCACCAAUAAUUGCACCCUAAGUGUGUCUAUCACAGGUGUACUUUCAUCAAGCAUUAGGUUGCA
rnacentral:lncRNA from 1 species